AGGGGAGCAUGGGAUCCUGGGCUGUGUUCUCCGGCACCCUGGGCUCCGGGGCCUGUGCUGCUGGAAUUGUGCUCCUGGGGCCACGCAGACCCCU
rnacentral:pre_miRNA from 1 species